CAGGGAGUAGUUUAAAGUAAGAAUAUCAGCUUUGGGAGUUGAAGGUGGAAUGGAUAGUUUCUUCCCUGAGGGGU
rnacentral:tRNA from 1 species